CAGACGUCUGCGCGUGUGGCGGGCUCCUGAGACGGGCUUAAAGGAAGAGUUUGCCCUUGUGCAGAGGGGCCGAGGAAAGUACAGGGGAGCUAUGUGAACUUCUCUGCAGAAAAACUUUCGGAUCUUACGUGUUCCAACUCCGUUGAAUGUUUUCCUGGAGACUCCACUGAGACAUGGUGUGCACUGUCCAUCACUGUGGCCCCCAGCCUUUGACCAGAUGUGGUACACGCAGAAGACCCUUGUGCCUUGCUGCUUGUGGCCUGUCAAGUCUGUGCCAUCGUCGUAAGUCAGUGCUGGGUCUGAACUCUGCUAUCUUUGCAUGGAGUUCCUCAGCUAUUUAUUGUACUUAUUCUAUCCUUGGUGGAAUCAGGCCAUUCCUUUUCAUUCUUUUUUGGCUGUCUUUUAUAUUUUUAUUUUGUAUUAUGCUACCUGAAAAUGCUGUUUGUCAUAAAAAGGAGAAUCAUAGGGUAGAACACAGCCAUAGACCCUGUGAGCCUGUUGUUCAAACCAGCCUGAGAGACCAGUGAGUUUGAAGUUCUCACCAGAUGGCCAUCCAUUUGGACAAACAUCACUGUGGGUCACCAAUAAAACUGAGUGAGGCACUCCUUCCAUCUUGA